GGGAUUGAUUUUGGAGAUGAAUCUUUGUAUGCAGAUCUAAACCUUCUUAUAUUUUGCCAUACAAGAGAUGGUUUGACAUCAGCAUAUUUUCUUCUCUUUACUGCCUCAGUACAUUCGUUAUCCCACCAAGGAGGAGAAGGAAUAAAACCCAAAGAGCUAUUUUUACUUGGAAAUAUCUCAUUGGCAACCUCAAUAAAGAUUCUUGCUAAAGAAUCUGCACACUGAGAUUCUGUACCUGGAUUAAUUUUUGGAAGUGUAAUAAUUUUGUUUUUUAUUAGAUCUUUAUAUAAAUCCCAAUCAACAUCAUUAAGCUUAUAUUUUAAACGAGGAGAAUAAGUUUUAUGUAAUACUUUAUUGUUAUUAUUGCAGGUUGGAAAUGAUAAUAAUAGUGGGAAGUGAUCACUACCAAAAGUAGAUCGUAAUGGAUCCCAGGACAAAGAAGAGGCAAGAUUAGGUGUAGUGACUGUUAAAUCUGGAGCACUUGGGCCCUCGUCAGGAUGAGAACGUCGUGUAGGACGACCAUCAUUUAAUAUACACAAAUUCACUGAAUCAAAUAUAUCUAUUAAUGUGUUACCAUAACUAUUAGAAGAUAAGUAACCCCAGGAUUCAUGGCGACAGUUAAAAUCACCAAGGAUCAUAAAAGGCUUCGGAAGAAUGGAAAUAAUAUCUUUAAUUUCAUUUAAGAUUGCAGAAGAAGGAUGAGGUAUAUAAAUAGAUACAUAACAGAUAUUUUCAACUAAAGCAGCAAUAAUAGAAAAAUCAUUACUGUGAGAAGGAAUAGAGAAGAGAGAAAAGGAAAGAGGCUGUUUCACAAGCAUGGCUACUCCACCAUGCCCAUCCACACGAUCUUCUCUGAGACAUGAAUAACCUCGAAUCUUAAAUAAAGAUCCUGGUUUCAACCAUGUCUCUUGAAGAGUACAGAUAUAAGGUUUAUAUUUAUUUAAUAAAUAAAUAAGAUCACUUUUUUUAGGAGUGAUGCUUUGACAAUUCCAUUGAAGAACUUUGUCCAUUAUUUGGUUUAUAAAUUUGAGUAAUUGCAGAAACUAAUAAGGCAGCGUUGGACGGUGAAAAUUCAUUCGAUUGACUAAGAGAUUUUAUAAGAGAAAUAAUUAAAUCAAUUACUGAGGAUUCCAAA